rnacentral:rRNA from 1 species
CAUUAUUGAAUAAGUUGACAAGGUUGUAGCUGGCUCCAUAGGAGCAUGUGCACGCCUUUCAUACUCAUCUCAACCACCUGUGCACCCUUUGUAGACCUGGAGAAAAAGUCUUUCGAGGCAACUUGGAAGAACUGUUGGAGGGUCUGCUGGCUUUUUAUCAAAGUCGGCUUCCCUUGCUUUUUUUGUUCAGCGUCUAUGUUUUUCAUUACACCCAAUAGAAUGUUAUAGAAUGUCAUUUGAUGGGCCUGUUAUAAAACAACGGCGUCCUUUAAAACUAUACAACUUUCAACAACGGAUCUCUUGGCUCUCGCAUCGAUGAAGAACGCAGCGAAAUGCGAUAAGUAAUGUGAAUUGCAGAAUUCAGUGAAUCAUCGAAUCUUUGAACGCACCUUGCGCUCCUUGGUAUUCCGAGGAGCAUGCCUGUUUGAGUGUCAUUAAAUUCUCAACCUCUUCAGUUUUUGUUAGUUGAAGGUGGAUUGGACUUUGGGGGCUUGCGGGCUUUUUCUUUAUGAAAGUCGGCUCCUCUUAAAUGCAUUAGCGAAAACCUUUGUGGACCGUCUUUUGGUGUGAUAAUUAUCUACGCCAUUGCCGCGAAGCAGUUCAUUUUACAAUGGGGUUUCAGCUUCAAACCGUCCCAGAUGGGACUACACUUCAUUGACAUUUUGACCUCAAAUCAGGUAGGACUACCC